UACAGAGGUCCCAAGCGUUGUUCGGAUUCACUGGGCGUAAAGGGUGCGUAGGUGGUAAGGCAAGUCAGGUGUGAAAUCUCCGGGCUCAACCCGGAAAUGGCAUUCGAAACUACCUUGCUAGAGGGUUUGAGGGGGGACUGGAAUACUUGGUGUAGCAGUGAAAUGCGUAGAUAUCAAGUGGAACACCAGUGGCGAAGGCGAGUCCCUGGACAUUUCCUGACGCUGAGGAGCGAAAGCGUGGGGAGCGAACAGG
rnacentral:rRNA from 1 species